rfam:Ailuropoda melanoleuca scaffold689_128, whole genome shotgun sequence.
ACCUAACUGGCUUAGUUGGAGGAGCAUGAGACUCUUGAUCUCGGGGUCGUGAGUUCAAGCCCCACAUUGGGUG